UCUCCUGGUCGGUACCUUCAGAUCGAACAAGACGCCCUCAAGGUGGCGCAGGAGAUGAGAGCAGAGUAUUGGACGCUGUCAUCACUCACAGGAGAGAACGUAAAGGAGUUCUUUUUCCGCGUGGCCUCGAUAGCUUUUGAAACAAACGUUCUUGCCGAGCUGGAGAAGAGCGGGACAAGACAGAUCGGAAACAUCGUCAAAAUCCAAAGCACCGCAAGCAACAAUCUGUACACGACGUCCAAGAAGAAGCAACCGGCCUGCUGUCAGUGAGAACCAUGAUGCGUUCAAGGUUUGGAAAAUAAAAGGACACGGCAGCUGCUCUCCACAAGUCGGAUUUUCCUGGCAGAGAGGCAGUUUCUUCUUUGGCCUGUGGAAUAAUGCGGCGCUCACUUGUGUGGGCGUGCAGCAUGACUCACACAUAUUGGGAUUUUAAUAACAGUUUUGUUUUUUUAAGUGGGGGUUGCCAACAAAAUCCGUCCGACUUUCAAGCGCUACUUCAGCCAAUCUAAGGCUUGAAAACGGCUGUGCAAUAUACUAACAGGAGGAGAGCGUAGCAGACAUGUUGUGCUGUAACAGUAUUUAAACAAAUGCAUCUUUUUUUUUUUAAGACUUGGGCACUGAAAAUAUCCAAAAAGUCAGUGACCCAAAUCAAAGACUAAAUCUCAACUAAAAAAUAUAAAUACAUAGAUAUAUAUUUUUUAGAAAUACCUGUGUUCUUGUGGGAUGAAAAGAAAGUGAUACUGCCAAAGAAGCACUUUGUAAGGCUGGCGUGUCCAAAGUGAAGGCCAUCUUGGUUCUUUAUUAUUAUAUUAUAUUGAUGCAAAUUAAUGCAUUUUAUUAUUAAAACAUAUAUCAACAUGUAUUAUUGGAAAGUACACUCUUAGCUUUGUCGCCCACAACACAAAUUAAUGUUUUGUUGUGAUGGCUUAGCAUAUAUUGGAUUGUUUUUAACAUCGUUAAUAAGCGGUAGGAAAUGGAUGGAUGGAUCUUUAUGUGCAAAAAUGGCCGCCGCAUCCUUCAAUUUGUACUUGUAUGCUGCCCCCCGGUGUGGAGUUUUAACAUUUUCCAUUUUAUACUUGCUGUUUUUAGUUUGCAGCAUUUCAGGGUGGGCUGUGAGUCCAAUAAGCAAUAAGUUGACCUUAUGUAACUGCAAUGUUUUGUAACCAUUCUAAAGGAUACAUCUUUGAUUCUAUGUUGCUAUAGCAACAGUACACAAUGACACAGUCAUUAUUGAUGAAAACGUUUGGCCAGUUGAGUGUUACAAAUGAAACGUGCCUGUAAAUGUUUCAUGGUAUUACUAUUAUGACAUGAAAGGUCCUAAAUAAAAUGUAUUUUCUACCAAAAGGAA